CCCUUAGACGUUCUGGGCCGCACGCGCGCUACACUGACGGAGCCAGCGAGUAUAAACCUUGGCCGAGAGGUCUGGGAAAUCUUGUGAAACUCCGUCGUGCUGGGGAUAGAGCAUUGUAAUUAUUGCUCUUCAACGAGGAAUUCCUAGUAAGCGCAAGUCAUCAGCUUGCGUUGAUUACGUCCCUGCCCUUUGUACACACCGCCCGUCGCUACUACUGAUUGGAUGUUUAAGCGAGGUUCUCGAACUGCUAGCGACUUAGCUUCGGUGAGGUCGCAGUGUGGGAAGUGAACCUAGCUUUGGUGUCUAGAGGAAGUAAAAGUCGUAACA
rnacentral:rRNA from 1 species